rnacentral:rRNA from 1 species
AUUGAACGCUGGCGGCAGGCCUAACACAUGCAAGUCGAGCGAGCGGUGGACGGGUGAGUAAUGUCUGGGAAACUGCCUGAUGGAGGGGGAUAACUACUGGAAACGGUAGCUAAUACCGCAUACCAUCGGAUGUGCCCAGAUGGGAUUAGCUAGUAGGUGGGGUAAUGGCUCAACUAGGCGGCGAUCCCUAGCUGGUCUGAGAGGAUGACCAGCCACACUGGAACGGGGACACGGUCCGGACUCCUACGGGAGGCAGCAGUGGGGAAUAUUGCACAAUGGGCGCAAGCCGGAUACAGCCAUGCCGGGGGUGGUAAGAAGGCCUUCGGGUUUUAAAGCACUUUCAGCGGGGAGGCGUUACCCGCAGAAGAAGCACCGGCUAACUCCGUGCCAGCAGCCGCGGUAAUUC